CAACUGUAUAACGCUCAACAAUAAUUAUACUUCCACCAGGAUUAGGCGUCCAUUAUCAUAAUCUGGACAUUUACAAUUAUCUAUAAUUUGCAAAGAUGCGCUUGGUUCUUGAUUGCAGAAGGCUUUUUCUGGCUCACCAUCGCUAAACAGUGACAGUAAUAACGGUUAAUUUUGCGGCCAAUAUAUAAGAGGUGUCGAGCUGUGCAUAACACUUUCACACCUGAAUUUGCUUACUCAACCACGAGCAGUACAUGUGACUGUCCGUAUUCCCUGCAGGAUCCGCACCGAAACCACGGCCUCUGUCCGGUUAUGAAGGGAGCCUGAUUUGAGAUGUUCUUCUGUUGUUGAUUGCUCAACAUUGAGAGAUAUUUCAAGGGCUCAGAGAGCUGACUGAGGAGAAGUCUUUUGAAAGAGCAAAGCCCGAUGACCAGGCGAAGGAAAUCAAGGCUCCCUAGUGUGUCGCCUUAGCAACGGGGGGAAAAUUAGCAUUGACUUCCGAGCAAGCCUACAAAACUAGGCUUCAGGGUAUUUUUUACAUCUUGAAAAGUGACAAUCAAAGAAGAUCUAAAGACAUGCUUCCACUUCCAUUUAUAUUGAAAUCAGCUUCUUUCUUUUUUCUACUGCCCGAACACAAAAAGUCUUAAUGUAUGUAUUUUUGCUCAUUUUACUGUGUUGUGCUGUUUCCCCACGAUGCCCCCAUGCUCAUGUUUGUCUCCCGCUGUGGCAAACAGAACACGUCUAUGAUAGUGAAUGCAUUUCUGAGCACUUCCCCACAUGAACUAGAGCUGACACUGGCUUCCUCAUUCACAGGCAUGGAAUUCAGCUGCCAUGAUUGCCAACACGCUUAAUGAUAGCAUCUCCAAGAGUCACAGAAGUAUCACACUGAUGCUCCAUCUCUCUCUCUCCCUCUCUUCAUCACAUUGUAGGAAAUUCACUGGUGUCCAAACUGCAGAACCUGCAACUAAGCCCAUCAGGAGCUGUUAUUCAGAGAAAUGAAGUGCAGAUUGUUUGUGCCGAAGCAUGAAGCAACUUGGUGUAUCCCCUCAUCACAAACAAGCUGCACUGCCAUGUAGGAACAAGCAGGAAUACAUUAAAAGGUAAUGAGAGAUCAGUCAGAAGAGGGUCAUACAGGGGCACUGUUUGGCAUCGCUGUUGCUGGAGAGAGCUUUCAGAGUGACGGCCUUGUUGUCUCUGUUGAGGAGCCAGAAGAGGUGGAGUUCAACAACGUUCCUCAUGGCAACAGUUGCUAAGCCUCAUUUCUUGUUGAUGUUGUUAUUUGUAAAUCAAACUGGGUGUAUAAGAUUAGCAAGUAUUGUAUAUAUGUGAUAUUUCGCACACUAAUAAUGAUUUGAAUAAACAUUUUCAUUCAAGACCAUUCA